CCAUCAUCAAGCUCAUCAAAUGAGCUGUUCUGAUGUCAGCAACAGGUCCAGUGGGUACCGCUCUUCUCUUUCUUUAUAAGCCGGGAACCGAUGAAGAUGGAUGUCGCUGCUGAAGAGGAUGCAGUGUACGAGCAGCACCUGUGGCAGACCUUUCUGCCUUAAUAAGAUAAAUAUGAUGGGAGUAAAUACUUUAUUGUGAUGAAUUACAGUGUGUAUAUGUCUAUGUGUAUGAGCGGAAGCACAUUGAAUUCACCAAAGAAUUUCUUUCUUCUUUAUCUUAUUAUCUUUAAUUAUGACUUACUGUCUCAUAAUUACAAGAAAACUAUUGGAUGGUUUUCUUGUAUGUAUGAUAAACAGUAUAAAAGUAUAAAAUAAUUUGUAGAGGCAAUAUUGGAAUCUAUAAUCAGAGUUGCAGAAUAUUGUGUAGUAAUUCAUGAUUUCAAGUGAUGGUCUCGAAUUUUGGUUGAUUGUUGGUGAAUGUGAUGCUUUUCUGUAUUUAUUAAAUGAAAUAACCAAUGAA